rnacentral:rRNA from 1 species
AGUAUGUGGUUUAAUUCGACGCAACGCGCAGAACCUUACCUGGUCUUGACAUCCCGAGAAUUUUCUGGAAACAGAGAAGUGCCUCGCAAGAGGAAUUCGGAGACAGGUGCUGCAUUGGCUGUCGUCAGCUCGUGUCGUGAGAUGUUGGGUUAAGUCCCGCAACGAGCGCAACCCUUGUCUUUAGUUGCCAUCAUUCAGUUGGGCACUCUAGCGAGACUGCCGGUAAUAAACCGGAGGAAGGUGGGGAUGACGUCAAAUCAUCAUGCCCCUUAUGACCUGGGCUACACACGUGCUACAAUGGUUGGUACAACGAGUUGCGAGUCGGUGACGGCGAGCUAAUCUCUUAAAGCCAAUCUCAGUUCGGAUUGUAGGCUGCAACUCGCCUACAUGAAGUCGGAAUCGCUAGUAAUCGCGGAUCAGCACGCCGCGGUGAAUACGUUCCCGGGCCUU